rnacentral:rRNA from 45 species
GAAGGAACGUUGAAGACGACGACGUUGAUAGGCCGGGUGUGUAAGCGCAGCGAUGCGUUGAGCUAACCGGUACUAAUGAACCGUGAGGCUUAACCUU